GGAGAGAUGUCCGAGUGGUUUAAGGAGCACGCCUGGAAAGUGUGUGAACGUUAAUAGCGUUCCGAGGGUUCGAAUCCCUCUCUCUCCUCCA
rnacentral:tRNA from 2 species